UUACUAUCGACCUAAAAACAAAAAAAAUGCAUCUUUCUCUCCUUUCCCAUGCGAAGAAAAUGCCUAAAUCUAAACAUCAAUUCUUCAUCUCCUACUCGAUUGUUCCAACCCGACGAGAAAAUCAUUCCUACCUUUUAUCAAUCAUUCGUUUUUCUUCUUCUUCUUCUUCUUCUUCUUCUUCUUCUUCUUCUUCAACAAAACCUGGAUAAUGAUUAGUCCUGUUACAAACCUAGAUGCUAAAAUUUCAUAGGCUUCUAUGAUGAUCUGAAUUUCUUUGCUCCUUUAAUGAACCCAUAUUAAUUAUGGUGGAUCUGAACUUGCAAAUGCGCAUAAAAAUUUGAUGGGAUGACGAUUUUGCGAAGACAGGCAUGAACUUUUUUAUUUUGGAAAACAUUACAUAACUCUGUAUGAUAGUCCUGAUGCUUCCAAUUUCUUGCAUUGCAGGUUUUGGCUGAAUCAAUGACUCAGUGAGUAAGAUUGGUGAAUUGGUGGCUGAUACAAAAUCCCAAUGACUACACUGAGAAACCCGACUUUUGAUUGAUGAAGUUAUCCAGUCAGGUGUAGUUCCUCGCUUUGUAUAGUUUCUUCAGGGGGAGCAAUUUCCAUAACUUCAGUUUAAGGUGGCUUUGGCUCUUAUGAACAUUGCUUCUGGAAUCUCAGAGAAUACCAAAAUGUUCAUUGGGCAGGGAGCUAUCCGAAUCUUUGUGGCACUUCUCAGUUCCCCCCAGUAAUGAUGUUCGAGAACAGGCUAUGUGGCCACUUGAAAAUGUUGUCGGUCAUUCACCUAAAUGCCGAGAUCUUGUUAAAUCAAUUAAAUGAGCAUGCCAAACUUUCUAUGCUGAUAAAUUCCACCUGGACUUUAUCUAUAAUUUUGUCGGGGCAAGCCACAGCCUUCCUUUGAACAGACAAAUCCAGGAAUCCUGCAUUCCCUGCUCUUAAGCGUCUUAUUAACUCAACUGAUGAAGAAGUACUUACAGAUGCCUACUGGGCUGUUUCUUAUCUGACGUCACCCAUAUCCUACUGUACUCAUUCCCGCCCUCCUCACUGUUGGCAAUAUUAUUACUGGAGAUGAUCGUCAGACUCAGUGAUAUCAUUGAACUUCAAGCACUUCCCUGCCUCAUGAACAUGUUGACAUAACCAAUAAAAGAGUAUAAAGAAAGAAGCUUGCUGGACUAUCUCAAACAUUACUGCUGGAAACAAGGACAUAAAGGAUUAGCUAACCUUUUCAAACAUAAUAUAGUGCUACACUGUUUCAGAGCUUCAAGUGGUUUAUUACGUUUUCAUCGUUCUCCACAUAACAUAUAUUAGUUUCUUUUUUUGUUAUUCAGGUGGGUGAUAUAAUUGAUUAUGGUAUGUACAUAAUUUACCACAUAUAUUCUAAGGCUAUGUCCUGGAUGCUCUUUCCGACCAACGAGAUAGAGGUGGGUUUCCCUGGGUUCUUGUCAAGUGUUGUGGUUGAGGAUUCGAUCUUGUAGUAGUUUUGUAGGAUGUUUAUACAACACACACAUCCUAAGUUAUAUGGUUCACGUAUAGUGCUUGGUAGAAAAAGAUGAGUUUCUCUUAUUUUUACUUUAAAAUACAUGAGCACAUGUACUCGUUUAUGGCAGUAUGACUGUAUAUUAUUUUUAUGUUUCGACCCACAUACAAUAAUCUGGUCUUACUCAUCUCUAAUCUUCAUUUUCAUUGUUACAACUAAUCUUCGACGUGUAUCCAGUUCCUCUGCAGUUUGCAGGAAAGUAAAGUUUUUUCUGCUCCUUGACUUUCAUUUAUGAACAUCUUCAUUUUGAUGAACACAGAUAUCAUGCACCUCUUGCUGGGAGGACAAGUAACUUCAUACUUAAGAGAGAUUAUAUUUCUGGAAACACAUCCAAACUCCCGGGUAGACCAAUCUGCAAGUGAAGAAAUGUUACUUAAUCCAUCUGUUUUAGUUUUAUUUUUAACCUUCAACUAUAUCAUUUGUUGGAAACUCAGCACUGAACUUGAAUUUCUGUGGUGUUAAGAUUUUCUGUGUUGCUUGAAUGUAAUAAAUUUGGACUUUGUAAUUCUUUUUUGAAUGAAUAAAUGAUGUUGUUGGAAA